AAAGUCCCGCAAGGGAUUAGUAGAGUGGCAAACGGGUGAGUAACACGUGGGUGACCUGCCUUCGAGUGGGGGAUAACGUCCCGAAAGGGACGCUAAUACCGCAUGACAUCCUGCCUUUGAAGAGGUGGAGCUUAAAGCCGGGGAACGCAAGACCUGGCGCUUGAAGAGGGGCCCGCGCCUGAUUAGCUAGUUGGUGAGGUAACGGCUCACCAAGGCAUCGAUCAGUAUUCGGCCUGAGAGGGCGGACGGACACACUGGGACUGAGACACGGCCCAGACUCCUACGGGAGGCAGCAGUGGGGAAUUGUUCGCAAUGGGCGCAAGCCUGACGACGCAACGCCGCGUGGAGGAUGAAGAUCUUCGGGUCGUAAACUCCUUUCGAUCGAGACGAACGGCUUCCGGGUGAACAGUCCGGAAGAGUGACGGUACCGAGAGAAGAAGCCCCGGCUAACUCCGUGCCAGCAGCCGCGGUAAUACGGGGGGGGCAAGCGUUGUUCGGAAUUACUGGGCGUAAAGGGCUCGUAGGCGGCCAACUAAGUCAGACGUGAAAUCCCUCGGCUUAACCGGGGAACUGCGUCUGAUACUGGAUGGCUUGAGAUUGGGAGAGGGAUGCGGAAUUCCAGGUGUAGCGGUGAAAUGCGUAGAUAUCUGGAGGAACACCGGUGGCGAAGGCGGCAUCCUGGACCAACACUGACGCUGAGGAGCGAAAGCCAGGGGAGCAAACGGGAUUAGAUACCCCGGUAGUCCUGGCCCUAAACGAUGAAUGCUUGGUGUGGCGGGUAUCGAUCCCUGCCGUGCCGAAGCUAACGCAUUAAGCAUUCCGCCUGGGGAGUACGGUCGCAAGGCUG
rnacentral:rRNA from 1 species